rnacentral:rRNA from 1 species
AAUCAACGCUGGCGGCGCGCCUAACACAUGCAAGUCGAACGAGAAAGGCGGGGCAACCCGCUGAGUAAAGUGGCGUACGGGUGAGUAACACGUGGGUAACCUGCCCUCCGGUGGGGGAUAACCCUGGGAAACCGGGGCUAAUACCGCAUAUGCCCGAGAGGGGAAAGCCGCAAGGCGCCGGAGGAGGGGCCCGCGGCCGAUCAGCUCGUUGGUAGGGUAACGGCCUACCAAGGCGAUGACCGGUAGCCGGCCUGAGAGGGCACACGGCCACACUGGC